AUUGAACGCUGGCGGCAGGCUUAACACAUGCAAGUCGAGCGGGGGAAGGUAGCUUGCUACCGGACCUAGCGGCGGACGGGUGAGUAAUGCUUAGGAAUCUGCCUAUUAGUGGGGGACAACAUCUCGAAAGGGAUGCUAAUACCGCAUACGUCCUACGGGAGAAAGCAGGGGAUCUUCGGACCUUGCGCUAAUAGAUGAGCCUAAGUCGGAUUAGCUAGUUGGUGGGGUAAAGGCCUACCAAGGCGACGAUCUGUAGCGGGUCUGAGAGGAUGAUCCGCCACACUGGGACCGAGACACGGCCCAGGCUCCUACGGGAGGCAGCAGUGGGGAAUAUUGGACAAUGGGGGGAACCCUGAUCCAGCCAUGCCGCGUGUGUGAAGAAGGCCUUAUGGUUGUAAAGCACUUUAAGCGAGGAGGAGGCUACUCUAGUUAAUACCUAGGGAUAGUGGACGUUACUCGCGGAAUAAGCACCGGCUAACUCUGUGCCAGCCGCCGCCGUAA
rnacentral:rRNA from 1 species